rnacentral:rRNA from 1 species
AAAUUAUUUCUAGUUUUUAUAUUUAUGUAUUAUUUAUUAUUUAUAUAAGAUUUUAUUUGCAAUAUUUUAUAAUUUUAAAUAAAUUAUUUUUAAUCUAUUAUAUUAUUUUAUAAAUUUUAUUAAAUUUAAUUAAAAUUAAAUUAAGUAAAAUAAAUUUAUUAUUUUCAAAAAUUUGUGCCAGCAGUUGCGGUAAUACAAAAAAUAAAAUAAAAUAUUAUUAAAUUAAAUAAAAUAUUUAUUUUUAUUAUAAUAAAUAUUAAAAUUUUAGAUAAAAUUAAAUUUUAAUUUAAAAAUAAUUUUUUAUAUGAAUUUGAAAAUUUUAAAUAAACUAGGAUUAGAUACCCUAUUAUUAAAAUUAAAAUUAAAAUUAUUAAUUAUUAAAAGUUAAAUUCUUAAAAUUUAAAGAAAAUGGCAGUAUUUUAAUCAAUUUAGAGGAAUUUGUUAAUUAAUUGAUAAUACACGAUUAAUUUUACUUAAUUUAUAUUUGUAUAUCGUUGUUAAAAAUUUAUUUUUUAAUAAUUUUAAAUAUUUAAUUUUUAAAAAUUUAAUUUAAAUCAAAUCAAGAUACAGUUAUAAUUAAGAAUUUUAUGAAUUACAAUAAAUAAAUAUUUAAUUGAAUUUUAAUUUGAAAAUUUUAAAUAAAAUUGGAUUUAAAUGUAAUUUUAUUAAAUUUAAUUAAAUGAUUAAAGUUAUAAAAUAUGUACAUAUUGCCCGUCACUCUCAUAUAUUUAAUUGAGAUAAGUCGUAACAAAGUAGAGGUACUGGAAAGUGUUUCUAGAA